AGUGAACGCUGGCGGCGUGCCUAAGACAUGCAAGUCGUACGAGAAAGCACCUUCGGGUGUAAGUAAAGUGGCGCACGGGUGAGUAACACUUGGGUAACCUACCCAUCAGAGGGGGAUAACUGAGGGAAACUUCAGCUAAUACCGCGUACGUCGGAGAGAACUGCGGUUCUUUUCGAGAAAGCCGUAAGGCGCUGAUGGACGGGCCCGAGGCCUAUUAGCUUGUUGGUGGGGUAACGGCCUACCAAGGCGACGAUAGGUAGCUGGUUUGAGAGAAUGAUCAGCCACACUGGUACUGGAACACGGACCAGACUCCUACGGGAGGCAGCAGUUAGGAAUUUUGCGCAAUGGGGGAAACCCUGACGCAGCAACGCCGCGUGAGUGAGGAAGGCCCUAGGGUUGUAAAGCUCUUUCAGUAAGGAAGAAACAAAUGACGGUACUUACAGAAGAAGCACCGGCUAACUCCG
rnacentral:rRNA from 1 species